rnacentral:lncRNA from 1 species
UGUCGAACUUCUAUCCCAACAAUUUCCCUAAGGAGACCUGAUGAGCCACACCUUGUCAUCUUGACAUCACCUCCUGCAUAGUGACCUGAUUACCACACUGGUGACACACAGUGACCUGAUUACCACACUGGUGACACACAGGUUAGGUACACAGUGACCUGAUUACCACACUGGUGAUACACAGUGACCUGAUUACCACACUGGUGACACACAGGUUAGGUACACAGUGACCUGAUUACCACACUGGUGACACACAGGUUAGGUACACAGUGACCUGAUUACCACACUGGUGACACACAGGUUAGGUACACAGUGACCUGAUUACCACACUGGUGACACACAGUGACCUGAUUACCACACUGGUGACACACAGGUUAGGUACACAGUGACCUGAUUACCACACUGGUGACACACAGGUUAGGUACACAGUGACCUGAUUACCACACUGGUGACACACAGUGACCUGAUUACCACACUGGUGACACACAGGUUAGGAUACACAGUGACCUGAUAACCACACUGGUGACACACAGGUUAGGUACACAGUGACCUGAUUACCACACUGGUGACACACAGGUUAGGUACACAGUGACCUGAUUACCACACUGGUGACACACAGUGACCUGAUUACCA